CAGUGGCGAAAUCCUGGAGCUCAACUCCAGAACUGCCAUUGAUACUAUCUAUCUUGAAUAUUGUGGAGGUAAGCGGAAUAUGUCAUGUAGCGGUGAAAUGCUUAGAUAUGACAUAGAACACCCAUUGCGAAGGCAGCUUACUACGCAUAUAUUGACGCUGAGGCACGAAAGCGUGGGGAUCAAACAGGAUUAGAUACCCUGGUAGUCCACGCCCUAAACUAUGGAUACUCGACAUAUGCGAUACACUGUAUGUGUCUGAGCGAAAGCAUUAAGUAUCCCACCUGGGAAGUACGUUCGCAAGAAUGAAACUCAAAGGAAUUGGCGGGGGUCCGCACAAGCGGUGGAGUAUGUGGUUUAAUUCGAUGAUACGCGAGGAACCUUACCUGGGCUAGAAUGCUGGGAGAUCGCUAGUGAAAGCUAGUUUUGUAGCAAUACACUGCCAGUAAGGUGCUGCAUGGCCGUCGUCAGCUCGUGCCGUGAGGUGUUGGGUUAAGUCCCGCAACGAGCGCAACCCCUAUCUUUAGUUGCCAACAGGUAAUGCUGGGAACUCUAAAGAAACUGCCGCCGUAAGGUGUGAGGAAGGAGGGGAUGAUGUCAGGUCAUCAUGGCCUUUAUGCCCAGGGCUACACACGUACUACAAUGGGGGAGACAAAGGGCUGCAACAUAGCGAUAUGAAGCCAAUCCCAAAAACUCCCUCUCAGUUCAGAUUGCAGGCUGCAACUCGCCUGCAUGAAGCUGGAAUC
rnacentral:rRNA from 1 species